rnacentral:rRNA from 1 species
AGAGUUUGAUCCUGGCUCAGAACGAACGCUGGCGGCGUGCCUAACACAUGCAAGUCGAACGGAGAUAAGGGGCUUGCUCCUUAUUUUAGUGGCGCACGGGUGAGUAACGCGUGGAUAAUCUACCUUGGAAUCUGGGAUAACAUUUCGAAAGGGGUGCUAAUACCGGAUAAGACCACGAGCUCUUUGGAGUUUGCGGUAAAAGGGGGCCUCUGUAUAUGCUUCUGUUUCAAGAUGAGUCCGCGUACCAUUAGCUAGUUGGCAGGGUAAUGGCCUACCAAGGCGACGAUGGUUAGCUGGUCUGAGAGGAUGAUCAGCCACACUGGAACUGAGACACGGUCCAGACUCCUACGGGAGGCAGCAGUGGGGUAUUUUGCGCAAUGGGGGAAACCCUGACGCAGCAACGCCGCGUGAGUGAUGAAGGCCUUCGGGUCGUAAAGC